AACUUUGGUGUACUAACUUCAUGGCUGCUUGGUUCCCCUUCCAGCCUGCUGAGGUUGGUGUCCUGGUUGGCAAAGACCGGUCAAGUUUUUUCGUGAAUGGGCUAACGCUUGGGGGCCAGAAAUGUUCUGUGAUCCGGGACUCACUGCUGCAGGACGGGGAAUUUACCAUGGAUCUUCGUACCAAGAGCACGGGCGGAGCUCCCACCUUCAACAUCACUGUCACCAUGACUGCCAAGACGCUAGUCCUGCUGAUGGGCAAAGAAGGUGUCCACGGUGGUAUGAUCAACAAGAAAUGUUAUGAAAUGGCCUCUCACCUGCGGCGUUCCCAGUACUGACCUCGUCUGUCCCUUCCCCCCACCACUCCCCACUGCUUUUGCACCCCUCUCCUUCCCACACACACACACACAUACACCAUUUUUAUUUUUUGGGCCAUUACCCUACACCCUUUAUUGCUGCCAAAACCACAUGGGCAGGGGGCCAGGGCUGGAUGGACAACUCCCCCUACCCAUACAUACCCUUCCUGUGUGUGGUUGGAAAACUUUUUUGUUUUUUGGGUUUUUUUUUCUGAAUAAAAAAAGAUUCUACUAACAA